AUUGAACGCUGGCGGCAUGCCUUACACAUGCAAGUCGAACGGUAACAGCACUUCGGUGGCUGACGAGUGGCGAACGGGUGAGUAAUACAUCGGAACGUGCCCGAGAGUGGGGGAUAACGCAGCGAAAGCUGUGCUAAUACCGCAUACGAUCUACGGAUGAAAGCAGGGGACCGCAAGGCCUUGCGCUCAUGGAGCGGCCGAUGGCAGAUUAGGUAGUUGGUGGGAUAAAAGCUUACCAAGCCGACGAUCUGUAGCUGGUCUGAGAGGACGACCAGCCACACUGGGACUGAGACACGGCCCAGACUCCUACGGGAGGCAGCAGUGGGGAAUUUUGGACAAUGGGCGAAAGCCUGAUCCAGCCAUGCCGCGUGCAGGAUGAAGGCCUUCGGGUUGUAAACUGCUUUUGUACGGAACGAAAGGUACUUUUCUAAUAAAGAAGGCUCAUGACGGUACCGUAAGAAUAAGCACCGGCUAACUACGUGCC
rnacentral:rRNA from 1 species